GAGAGAGAGAGAGAGAGAGUGAGAGAGAGAGAGAGAGAGAGAGAAAGCACUGACUGGCACAGGCAUGCUCUACUGGCCAGAGAACAGGCAGGUGUCCCCGUCCCAUUCCCGUCUUCCUCACUUCUCAUGCCCAACCAAGUGCAGCAAGCUCUGACGGAUAUCCUGUCUGCUUUCCCUUUGAGCUUAGCCUCUCUCUCCCUCUCACUCUCUCUCACUCUCUGGCUUUUGUGCACUUGCUUGCUUUGCUUUCUUUUUUUCCUGCCCCAUCACUUAUUCAUGGAACAGGUUCAACUCCCAGCACUGAUGUCUGGAAACGACGCAUGGACACAGGAGUGACAGUGGGUGGUUUCAUGAGUGGUCAGCGGCGGAUAAUAGCAGCCAAGCGAUGGAGUCCCACAACAAAAAAGUGGAGCCAGAACAAAGCUCGACAAUUACAGUCAGAAAGAGCUCAUCGCUGUGGGGCAAGGUGGACAGAACAGAGCCACGCUCAUCUUACACGGCUGGCAGAAGACAUCCAGCCCAUCAGGAGCCACUGAGAGGAAACAGGACGGGGAAUUCCAAACAAAGACAGCACAGGCAAACAACGAGGUGCUGGCCGCUCCAUUAUGGCCUUGUUUGCUCCUCGUAUGCAGGAUCAUCCAUACAAUAAAGGCGAAAUUAAAAGUUCUCAGAUGUGAGGCACUGUUGGCACAUGCUGCUAGCGUACGCAUAUUCUCUCUGCCCCCGGAUGGAUUGAAAAUACCACGUUCGCAUGGGAGAGAAGGCCAGAGAGGGGAAAACGUGAGGGGCUGAAUUCUGCCUGUCAGUGAGGUGCUGCUGUUUAAUGGCGUAUUUUAAAUGCUUAGACUGCUAUAUAUGUGCUCUAGUUA